rnacentral:snoRNA from 12 species
AUACUAUGAUGGUUGCAUAGUUCAGCAGAUUGUAUCAUGAAGAUGAGAACAUUUGUCUGAUGUAUCU